UUCUUUUAUGCUUUCUCUUCUUCCUCCUCACCCUAGGUCUCUGUCCGGCCUCUCCCCAAUCUCCUCCGCCGCCGCGCGCCGCCCAUGCCCCGGCGGAAGCUGCCCGUCGUCCCCCUCGCCGGAGGACGCUCUCCGGUGAUGCUGCUCACCGGUGACGCCCCGCAAAAUCCUGCUCUACCGGAUCCUGCCGCAGCGGCGGUCCUUUCGUUCGUGCCUCCCGCGGAAACCCCUAUCUAGGCUAGGACGCCGGCAUGCUCCUGCUGUUCCCCCACGUCUCUUGCAUGGCUUCGCCGUUUCCGGCCUCCUCCCGCACCACGGCGCCCCUCGCCGACCGGUCCACAGUGUAGUUCGCGUCCGGCUACCCGAUGGUGUGGUCGUGACGUGGUGGUGCUGCUAUGGGCCUGCUGUUUCCUCCCACACUCGGUGUGGUGGUAGGCUGCGGCUCACCCCAACUUCGACUACCUUGACCUACCAUUACGUUCCUCACUCGGCUCCCUCUCCCCUGGUGAGUUCCUCUGUCCCCCAUCGGUAUAUGAACAUGGCCAUGGAGCGAAAUAAAAUGCAGUCUAGGAGAGGUAAAUUAAAACAGUAAGAAAGGCCCCUGAUGUGCAAUAUCAAAUACGAGUAGAAUAUAUGAAUACGAUGUUCAACAGAGGCUCAGGUUGAUGCCAGGAAAGUUAAGAGACUUCGAAUUUCUCUUCCCGUACAUACCAGGUGCCAAGAAUGAAAAACUUGGACGAAUACUGGCUUGAUUAGUGAACUGUUGCAUUAAAUAUGUUUUGCUAGGCUACCUUUUGCACGAGCAAAUUCUGAUGUCUUUGCUUACUGUUUAAUGGUUGUUUGUGUUCUGGAAACGUUUUGAUUUCCCGAUUCCAAGCUAAACUAUUUAUUUUUGUAGUCAACAAAGGUACUAAGUUAGGUACAGCUAGAAGUACUGUUCUUUUUUUUUACACUUAAAUUGGUUUGAUGAAGUUAAAUUUAGUGUAAAUAGUUUAUAUCGUGGUAGACGUCAUAUGAAAAUUCAUCAGUUAGGGCAUUUAGUGUUUAGAUCAGACUAGAGUUAUGUUUUGCAUGAUAGCUCUUUGGUUUGUGGAGGCAUUUGUAUAUGCAUACCACCAUAAAUCGAGAAUGGCUGUAUUUAGUCUGGUCCUGACAUCUUUGAAGAUGACGUGCAUACUGUUGCUUAUUGCAUAUGAGUCAAAUCACUGAUUUGCAUCUUCCUUAAGAUGUGUUGCCAGUUCUACAUCUGCACAUUCCUGUAUUCUGCAUGAAUUGGGUAUUGUUCAUUCGAUUGCUUAGCAUGCAACCUAGCAGCCUAUCGAUGAGGAAUUUAGGCUGCUAUUUAUGGGGUGAGAUUUCGGGGAUAUGUGUGGUUCAAUUUCUUUUGUGCUCAUUUGUUGAUGGUUGCUAUUAUAGUAUUCGGGGUUAUCUUAUUGCAAUACUGGAAUUAUCUGGUUGCUUUUAGGUGCGAGGAACUAACUUAGCUAAAAUAUUUUCUUUGCCAUAUAAUUUUUUUUUGUAUUCUCUAGCAAGUGUAUGUGCUAUGAAAUUAAAGGUUCUUGAGAUGGUUGAUGAUAUAAGCCAUAUUCCCCGGCUAUAUGAUUUACUUCAAUUUUCGUCAGCCAGAACAAGGUCAUAUAGAUCCUCUCUCCGCACUAUCUUGUUUGUAACUUGAGUUAACUGGUUGAAUAAAAAAGUCUGACUGAGCAAAAUUGAGAUUUAUUCAUGCAUCGUAUCUUCUGGAAUAACUGUUAGGUCCACAUGACUUCUUUGAUAUUAUUUUAAGUUGUAAGCCUGGUCACUGACCCAGCUGUUGAGGUCACUCCCGGCUGGGGCGUGCACAAGCGUUGGAUAUUGGAUUGAAGAGCACCUAGGUCAUCGACCGGGGGUGGUAAGCUGAUUUUUUUUCCGCGGUUCGGGCUUCUUCCAACAACCGAUUGGGCUCACCCACAACCCUUGAAUUUGUUUAUUUGUGUGCUAAAGACAGUUUUAUAAGGAGAAAAGCAUGGCCCUUAUGCUUCACUGAUAUUUAUAUCUGAAUAUUUCAGACCAAAGUGUUGCCAAAGGCUUGAAGAUUUAAUAUCAUCUACAGCUCUGCACGCACAAUUUAUUUAUGGGGUCGCUUUGGUCUAUAUUAUAUGUGUUCUUAGAGGCACACGAGAGGAAAUGAGUGUGUAAUACUAUGAAGAGGAAUUGGUUUUAGUACCAAGUAACCACAAACAAUAUAGCUAUGACUCUUUUUGCUUAUCCUAGAGCGUUUUAUCAGGUGUCCCCUGCUUUUUAGUGUUGGAAUCUCAUGUUAUCUGGAUACAAUGACUAGGUAGAGUACAACGUAGGCUAGAAUUUGGAUAUAAAUUCGAGCCUUAUGUUUUUGAUUUAUUGACCACAUUGCAUGUAACAAUAUGGUGCCCCAACUUGUUGAGACUGGUGGUGCACAACAUUUUGUGUUUUACUGCUACUAGGGGUGAAUCAUGCGUGGUGCAUUUUACCCAGCGGGGUGGCAUGUUCGUGGCAUCUUUCCAUUUUUUCUUAUUUUGUGGUUGUUUGUUCUGUUCUCCUAUGUUGUCAGCCCUUAUUUUUCUGAAUGUGUUGUUUGUCUGUGCAGUGUUGUUCUACGUUUGUUGGUUCGUGGCACGUGGUUGUUGGUAUGUACUGAUUUUGGUGCUUCUGUUGGUGGUUGCGGCGUUGUCUUUUCCUGCAUCUCGUGAGGUGGUUUGCUUUCCAUGUCCGAUUGGUGAGUUGUUCUUGGUUUUGCUGCUUAUUGAUUGGCUGGCAUUCUUUAGUUUUGUUGUCGUGUGAUGGGUGACAAUGCUUCUGGGUUCAGGAGCACCGCAUCAUAUCCUCCCUAAACGCGAUGGUGACCUGGGGUUUUCGUUAAUUGGUAGAUGCUUGGUGCCUCCACCGGUGCACUCCACUUAUGCUACACCAACAAUGCGGCGAAUGGAGCUCUUUGGGCUUCACUGCAUGCAUGGUCCUCUUCUAGAUCCUCCCUGAUGCAUUGUCACCGCGCUUGCCUUCAUUUUCAUUGGGGCCAUGGAAGAUUUAGGAGGGGUUGCUCUAGGGGAAAAUCUUCCCUAGACAUUGAACGUGGACCUUAUUAAGUUUAUAUAGGUGGCCUUCAUUAAGUUUAUAUAGGAAGGGUUACCAAUACAGUUUUAGUAGCACCUUAAUACUGAUAUUUAAUUUUUGUUUGGAUAUGCCAAAAGUUUUUUUGGUGUUCAAUGUUUUCGAAUAGUCCUUUGCUCUCAUCAUAUUUUGUGUAGAUUAAGUUGUUCCAGGGGUAUCCUAUAACGUGAAACUAAAGUUAGGAGCAUGCAUGGGAGCUACCUAAGAUUCAGUUUGGGUCGCUGAAUCUUCUGUUCUAGGUUCAGAGGAAGUGUCAAAACAUAAUACUAAAUGUGUUGUUCAUCCUCCAAAAUCGACAAAUGCCAUCCAAAGGACCACAUGCAGUAAUAAAAAGGAAACUGUAAUAUCUAGCUUACCAAAUGGUGGGCCAGUGCAGGUCAAUGGAUGUACAAUUUUUUCUCCUAAUAAUGGUGUUCCCAAGAAUGUAAAGUCUGAAGCCACGGUCCCUUCAGCUGGGCCUGUUAGCAAUGUAAAGGAUACUGAAACGAUGGUUUCUUCAGCUGGCCCUGUCAGCGAUGUAAAAAGGACUGAAGCUCCAGUUCCUUCACCUGGUCCUGCCAACAUUGUAAAGAAGAGAGGAAACUACGGUUCUUUCACCUGCGCCUGCCAAGUAUAUAAAAAACAUCGAGGGUAUAUAUUGGCAUGUCAAACAAGAAUGUAAAGAAGACUGAAACUGAUGUUCACUCACCUGGUCCUAUUAACAUUGUAGAGAAGACUGAAUCCUGUCAAGAAUAUUAGAAGUUCAACACCACUUGGCAUGCCAUGGUUAUACCAUGAUGGGAUCAAGUGCACACACAACAACUGUUCAUCUAUGCGAGUAACUGAUAAUGAGAGCACAAAUGUUGAUGAUGUAUUAUUUAAACAACAAAGUCUAUCCUAACAAGCCAUUGGUUCCCACAGUUUGAAAAAUACAUGAAAUAUAUGUUUCCAGAAUGUUACUCCCUCCUAAUAUAAGACGUUUUGUCAGGCCAAUUUUGCUAGCCAAAAUGUCUUAUAUUAGUGAAGAGAGGAAGUACUUUGUAGGCUUCCCAUGAUUGCCUUUUGUUCAGAUUGUACGACUUGAGGAAUUGGAGUAUACCCAAGGUACUACUACUAAACGAAUAUGUUUUAUGGUCUGUCUGUGCUUCUUUCAUUCAUUUGUUUUGAAUACUGCUUCCAUUUUAGGUUGGGCACCCUACUUUUGAGUGCGUUCUGUCUAAAUAUUUCAUUGACUUUUGUUCUGAAUAUUGCCAUUUUAGGUUGGUCACCCUACUUUGAGUACGUUCUUUGAGCUCAUCUCUCAAUCUGAUGUGUGUGAUGAGUCUAGCCAUCCUACUGGCUAGAAUAUCUGCUCUGCCAAGGUUUGGUGUAAAAGGCUGGUUUUUGGAAUCGCUAUUUCAGCCGCUAGCAAUGUGACACUACAUUGCUGGAUGAUUUUUUUUUUCGUGCUCUCAUUCUGGGCUUCAUUUAGUUCGUAUUCAGGAUAUUCAAUUACUCCAUUGAACCAAUAUACAGAUCACGUUGGCGCAUGUCAAGUAAAUCAAGUUUGCAAUCUUUAUGGUUAAAGUGUAAUGUUGUGAGAGUGUCC